UUCAGUAGCUUUUGAGCUUAAGAAGUUUACCCAGUCACUUUUUCCUUUCACCUAGGAAAGCCAUUCCUUGGUUUCCACAGUAGUGCAACAUAUUGCAGUCGAAACAGCCUGUUUAAUUUAGAAAAGCAAGUGACAAAACAGGGAGAGGGUGGCUGUAGGAGCACACAGAGCACCUGUGGUCUGGAGGACAUGGGUCUGGCUCCUCGCAGGGCUACCAUCUUGUUGGAGGACCCCGUGUGACUGGACAUCUGCAGCAGAGAUGUGGUGGGCAAAGAGGAACUCGAUUUCUUUGCAAAGCAAAAUGGAGAAUGUGUAAUACAGACGAGCAGUUAAACUACCCUGUACUGCAGCAACUGAUUCACUGACUCCUGUGCAAAUGGGGUUAACGAAGUCUUGAGUGUAUCUUCCAGCUAUGAAUUCUGUUACACCCAGCCUAUGCAAAACCCCAAGCUCAUUUACAUAGAGGUCCUGAAAAACAGUUUUACAGAAGUCUGAUAUUAUCUAGUAACUGUAUUGUAAAAUAAAUUGCUCUUCCUACGAACUGGGUGCAGCGUGCACUCUUCUAUCAGUGCCCUGCUCAGGAUAGUGAGCAACACCGGCACCUUCAGCAGCCCCUGUGGUAGCCUUACCACGUGGAGACUGACCAGGCAGAAGAGACCAGGAGAUGGCACAUGAUAAAGAGUGCUUCUCUCAGAGGUGCUCCUCGCUGCUCGGUGAGGGAGCACACCUCACCCAUCUCUCUUACACCCUUGAUGUAUGAGGUACGUGCAAACCACCAGCCAGAAAAGAAAACCUCCCAGCUGACAGAGCUCCUUCCACAACCAUGCGUAAUAGGCCACAAACAAUUGUUCCACAUCGAUAUUUCCAAGGUAAGAGAGGCAAACGCUUUCAUUCUCAGUUACGGUUCUGUUAACUGGAGUCACACGAACGACACUUGCAUCUUAAAGCUGCAUUUCAUUGCAGACUCAUUCAUGACUUCAGAUGUGUCUUUGCUCUAAGGGACAGGCUCAGCCCCACCGCAGUCGGUGGCCGUUUUGUCACAGCCUGGGUGGAGGCAGGACAUUACCCCAAGCGCUGCUGUCUCUGGGGCAUGCUUUCAGCUCCCGGCUGUGCCUACAGAGAAAAGGAGAAGCACGGCUGGAGGCAUGUGGGUGUAAAGCAGCGCCGGCUUGAACCAGCCCCUCGUGUAUAAUAACAGUAGUGAAAACCGGAGGCAUGCCUGCCACCCCCGCUCGGCUCCGUGCACACCGGCAUCUCCGAGGGCUUGGCUGGUGGUGCCUUGCGCCCGCGCGAUUGCAUCUGUCUGUGUUACCCGCGCGAGACAGAUGAGAGCUUUCAUCUCACUGUGCCAGCUUGCCUUCCACUACCCUUUGAUACCGCAGCACGUAUAAAUAGAGACCCGAGCGCUGACAGGCAAGGAAGCUCGUCUGCCCACUGCAAAGGCUGAGGUGCCCUGCUCCAGCUGCUCGGCAUCCUCACAGUGUGUGCGUUUGCCAAAAGUGGGGACCAUGCAGGAUGCUUUAGCAAUGCUUACUGAGCUCAGCAUCCCUCGGCGCUUGUUCAAGUCUUCUGUGAAUGCCCCAGAGCCUGCGAGUCAUGUGUCUGGCCUGCAUGGCGCAGGUGUAUGCCAUCAAGCCAGCUCAAAAGGGCACUUAUGGGAGCUGUAGGCAAAGCUGGGGACGUGCAGGGCAUUUGUCACAAAGGAAACAGAUGCUCAGGUGUGCUCCGCGCUCCUUUGCCCCCAACAUUCAACUGUUUCACAGAUGGUCAUCUUUCUCUUCCAAAAAAUGCACUUCAAGGGCUGGGUCAGUGCCUUCCGAGGUUGCUGGUUUGACAAGGAUUGCAAGGCUUGCCCUCAGAAGAGAUGAGUGAAAUGCCUAUAACAAAUCACACUCAACCCGCUGGGUUGCAAGUCCCCUCACGCCGCAUUCAUGGAGAGAUUUGUACGAGAGGUCAGCCUUUCAACUCACAGCCAAAACCCUACCUAAGGGCACCUCCCAAACACAUCUCAAAAUCAUGGCGCCAACGUGAAACCAAACAACAGAAAGCACAGUGCAAGAGCAAAUACUCAGAAGGCAAAAGAAAAAGCCCCAAGCCCCUGACUUGGGCUGCUUUUGUGUUCACUGGAAUCAGAAACUCAAAACAAAAAGCGCAGGCUGAAAAACCCAGACAGAUCAAAGGCAGAGAAAAUGUUCUCACAGAUCUUUGUGAAGUGAAACUACCCAAUUUCACAGAGUUUCACUUGCAAGCAGAAGUGGUGAGCCCUGCGGACAGCAUUAAGGAUGAAUUGGAAACUCUACCAGGUAGCAACUACUGGCACUCUCUGCCACUCUGCUUUCAUAGCCAUCCCUUCUGUGCCCUUUCCAUUUUUCCUGUUUCAAUUGUCUGGACACUUCAGGGAGGAGAUAUCCAUACUAUUCAUCUACGAUUUGGGAAGCUGACUCAAGUUUAUACAAAUAUGAGCCAUUCUCGUAAGAUGACAGAAGAGGUAAUGAAGGUAAUGUAAUGUUUUCUUGUCCCUCUCUCAGACCAGUGACUCACCUACCCCAUGGCUGCUAACAGAUGUCUUGGAGGCAGCCACAAUUCAUUUUGCAGACAACAGACCUGCUUACAUGGGAAGCUUUCUUUUCAAGCUUUAGCAGAGACUGGUUUGUGCUCUGAAACACAGCAGUGAGAGACGGAGGGAGAACUUAAAACCUUCCAAAGUACAUGUAUCUUCUUUUCCUGGCUGGUGCAUAUCAAGAAACUGCUAUCUGUAUUCAGAUUGAGCUGUUCUAUGGACUCUGGGUUUCAAUAAAUUUUGUGUUUCAACGGUGUUUCACAGCAACAAGCUCUUGCUUGUAAUCACCCGCUGUUUAAAACUAUUUCUACCGUACUCUGCUUCAUUGACUAAGCACAGAGAAAGAAGGAAGGAGGAGGAGAUGAGAAGGAAUGAAGGAUGAGCUGACUGUCUGUUAGAGUUGUUUUACGAAAACCCAAACAAAUAGAAAACACAAGUAAAUAAAUCAAAACUUAAAAAAAGGGGAGAGAAAAAAAAAAAAAAAAAAAAAAAAAAAAAACA